rnacentral:rRNA from 1 species
GAUGAACGCUGGCGGCGUGCCUAAUACAUGCAAGUCGAGCGAAUGGAUUAAGAGCUUGCUCUUAUGAAGUUAGCGGCGGACGAGUGAGUAACACGUGGGUAACCUGCCCAUAAGACUGGGAUAACUCCGGGAAACCGGGGCUAAUACCGGAUAACAUUUUGAACCGCAUGGUUCGAGAUUGAAAGGCGGCUUCGGCUGUCACUUAUGGAUGGACCCGCGUCGCAUUAGCUAGUUGGUGAGGUAACGGCUCACCAAGGCAACGAUGCGUAGCCGACCUGAGAGGGUGAUCGGCCACACUGGGACUGAGACACGGCCCAGACUCCUACGGGAGGCAGCAGUAGGGAAUCUUCCGCAAUGGACGAAAGUCUGACGGAGCAACGCCGCGUGAGUGAUGAAGGCUUUCGGGUCGUAAAACUCUGUUGUUAGGGAAGAACAAGUGCUAGUUGAAUAAGCUGGCACCUUGACGGUACCUAACCAGAAAGCCACGGCUAACUACGUGCCAGCAGCCGCAGUAA